AGGAGCAUGUGGUUAAUUCGUAUGAUACGCGAGGAACUUACCUGGGCUCGAACGUAAGAUGACUGUAGGUGAAAGCUUACAUCUCUUCGGAGCAUUUUACGAGGUGCUGCAUGGUUGUCGUCAGCUCGUGCCGUGAGGUGUCGGGUUAAGUCCCAUAACGAGCGCAACCCCUACCUUUAGUUGCCAUCAGGUAAUGCUGGGGACUCUAAAGGAACUGCCUACGCAAGUAGUGAGGAAGGCGGGGAUGACGUCAAAUCAGCACGGCCCUUACGUCCAGGGCUACACACGUGCUACAAUGGCCGAUACAGAGGGCAGCUACCUGGUGACAGGAUGCAAAUCUCCAAAGUCGGUCUCAGUUCGGAUCGGAGUCUGCAACCCGACUCCGUGAAGUUGGAUUCGCUAGUAAUCGCGCAUCAGCCAUGGCGCGGUGAAUACGUUCCCGGGCCUU
rnacentral:rRNA from 1 species